rnacentral:lncRNA from 1 species
GUCGAUGAUUCAAUAUAUAUUAAAGUGUCCACGGUAUGGCAAAGCCAUGUGACUAGAGGAUCUGUGGGACAUGAGAGGACUUGCGAGUAAAGUUUGAUCGCAGAUUAGAAGUCCAUCCGAGUACUGGUCGAGUGCCAUCCGUCCGACCAGGACAUAGAGUGGUCAGCUGCAAAGAUGCACGUCUUCACCAUGUCUUAAUGAAGUUCCAGAAGAUAUGAGAGUUACAAGAUAACUCAAGUUACAAUUCGGCAAGAGCUAUUCCUACAUCAACGUUCAAAAAGCUCAAAGGACUACAAGUUCAGUCAUAUGAUAUGUUAGCCGACUUCUUCACCAUGUCUACACCAACCACACGUUCAUGAAAUUUAUCUAUCAGUUUGGGACGUG